rnacentral:rRNA from 1 species
UGAGUAACCUGCCCUUCACUUUGGGAUAACCCUCGGAAACGGGGGCUAAUACCGGAUAUUCAUUUCCUGCUGCAUGGUGGGUUGUGGAAAGUAUUUUUUGGUGGGGAUGGGCUCGCGGCCUAUCAGCUUGUUGGUGGGGUGAUGGCCUACCAAGGCGACGACGGGUAGCCGGCCUGAGAGGGCGACCGGCCACACUGGGACUGAGACACGGCCCAGACCUCCGUACGGGAGGCA